rnacentral:lncRNA from 1 species
GGAUCAUAAGGUCAGGAGUUCAAGACCAGUGUAGGGAGACCCCCUAAAACUAUUGCUAUGGAAUAAAGAUGAAAUGCUCCUAAUUAUUGUAAAUACAAAAUUGCAUGCAGAAUUGUGUAAAGACAAUGCCAGGUUGGGCUGCCAGAAUGAGCCAACAGCGCAUGAUGUGCUUCCCCCUGCAGAAAGCCUAUAAACGGACAUGCAGUCAGGGAGGUUUCAUAUCUCCCAGAUUCCUAUCCCAGAAAAGCAGAUGUUCAUAGCUCUGGGAGUGGAAUGCGACCCUUGUGGAGAGCCUAUAAACGGACGCAUGAAGGGCACCUGUUCAUAUGGAUAAGAUGAAAAUUCCCGAGAAAGCAGAAGAGGCCCCCAGAUGGGCGGAUUCCCAAUCCCGGACCCCUGCGGCAGGUCGAG